UGGGCGACGGUAACCACUCACCAUCAGGUGGGCCGUAUGCUCGUCUGCCAACAAGGGCAAUAAAAAAAAUAAAAAAACCAGUGUCGCUGUGAAAUUGAAUUAAGGCUAGAAUUAAGUCGAUUAGUCGGCUAUCGGUAUCGGUAAAUGAAAAACAGUCAGGAAAAGUUUUAUUCCAUUAUUUACUCCGAUACUAACGGGUGUGAUAUUCCAAGGUUUUAUUCAUUACAAAGUUUUUGAAGUUGAAACGACUGCGUCGUCGAUGAGUGAUAAAGUGUAAUUAAUAUUCAAGGAAUUUGAAAUGCAUUGAUUACGUUAUGUCAACAUUUGUAAAAUUACAGAGAUUCGGAUAAGAUUAUGUGAUCUACAAA